GACGAACGCUGGCGGCGUGCCUAAUACAUGCAAGUUGAGCGCUGAAGGUUGGUACUUGUACCAACUGGAUGAGCAGCGAACGGGUGAGUAACGCGUGGGGAAUCUGCCUUUGAGCGGGGGACAACAUUUGGAAACGAAUGCUAAUACCGCAUAAAAACUUUAAACACAAGUUUUAAGUUUGAAAGAUGCAAUUGCAUCACUCAAAGAUGAUCCCGCGUUGUAUUAGCUAGUUGGUGAGGUAAAGGCUCACCAAGGCGAUGAUACAUAGCCGACCUGAGAGGGUGAUCGGCCACAUUGGGACUGAGACAUGGCCCAAACUCCUACGGGAGGCAGCAGUAGGGAAUCUUCGGCAAUAGACGAAAGUCUGACCGAGCAACGCCGCGUGAGUGAAGAAGGUUUUCGGAUCGUAAAACUCUGUUGGUAGAGAAGAACGUUGGUGAGAGUGGAAAGCUCAUCAAGUGACGGUAACUACCCAGAAAGGGACGGCUAACUACGUG
rnacentral:rRNA from 1 species